rnacentral:autocatalytically_spliced_intron from 1 species
GAAAGCGCAGUGCGUUAAAUGCGCACGCUGCGUUUGACGAGGCGGGUGCUGGAAACACGAUCGAAAGAUUGGUGCGCCAGCGUUCGACCCUAC